rnacentral:rRNA from 1 species
UACGGAGGAUGCGAGCGUUAUCCGGAUUUAUUGGGUUUAAAGGGUGCGUAGGCGGCUUUUUAAGUCAGCGGUGAAAUUUUGCAGCUUAACUGUAACAGUGCCGUUGAUACUGGGGAGCUAGGAUUUGGUUGCUGUGGGUGGAAUGUGUGGUGUAGCGGUGAAAUGCUUAGAGAUCACACAGAAUAUCGAUUGCGAAGGCAGCUCACAAAGCCAAGAUUGAUGCUGAGGCACGAAAGUGUGGGGAUCAAACAGGAUUA